ACCCGGUCCCAUCCCGAACCCGGCAGUUAAGUUCGUCAGCGCUGAUGGUACUUGGGGGGCAACCCCCUGGGAGAGUAGGUCAUUGCCAAGA
rnacentral:rRNA from 1 species